rfam:Triticum aestivum genome assembly, contig: Triticum_aestivum_CS42_TGACv1_scaffold_513786_6BS
UAUAUACUAUCUUCGUCCGGAAUUACUUGUCGCAUAAAUGAAUAAAAAUGGAUGUAUCUAGAACUAAGAUAUGUCUAGAUACAUCCAUUUCUCGGACAAGUAUUUCCGAACGAGAGAGUACAUG